rnacentral:lncRNA from 1 species
GUGCCAAUAUAAUCAAUCUCUCAUCGGUUAGGAACUCCGGCAGCUGGUCCCAGACUCCUUUGGCGGUUGCCUUGGACACUGUGUAGAACACACAGGACAUGCUGUUGCUGCAUUAAACCAACUCACUUUAUUUCAAGGGCAAUCCAGAGUCCAUAGCAACAUGUCAUCCUGCCUGGGUGCAAUGGCGGCCAGUCUUUCUGUGCACCCAAUCUCCUGUAUCUACGGAAGGGUCAGUUGCUAGGGCUCUAUGGCGGUAUAUCGGGGUUCUACCCCCUUCUUGUGCUAGGACCAAAAUUCCAGGGGCACUCUGUCUUUCUGUUGUCUCUGUCACAGUGCCUGACCCAGCCCUUCUGGAGUCACAGACACAUCGAACUCAAAUGCUGGCCCUGCUUUGGAGAUGCCCAGAGCUUUCAUCUGCUUCACUAGUACUUUUGUCUUCUUAAAGGUGCUGGCUGCUUUGAUUCCCUUUCUUUUCUAGGCAGGAUAAGGAAUAGAGGCACUGUGUCAAGUGGGGAAUGAACGUUCUCUACAACCACCAAAUCCCUACAAAGGCUUGUACUUCUUUCACACUUAAAGGGAUUGGAUGGGCUAACAACCUAGCGAUCACAGCUUCCGAGACAACACGUGUCUUACCUGACCAAAUGACUCCCAAGACUUUAUGGUAGUGCCUGGGCCUUGAAUUUUCUGUAGGUUCACUGUCUAUUCUCUCCCUUGUAAGUGUAUCACCUGCAAGGUGUCCUGCAACAAGCAUAUCUUUGCACGUUAAUAUUAUAUCGUCAAUGUCAUGGGCCCAUUGUACUGAUGAGGGGAAGGAGAAUAGCGACAGACCUUGGGCUACUUGGAGAAGCCCUUGAAAGGUCCAUUGUUGCUCCCUGCCACCCCCCCCCCCCCCCACUGCCAUGUGAAGGCAGAUUAAUCUUGUGACUCAGGUGCCAGGGGGUUUCUGAAAAAGACAUUUGCUAAGUGCAGCAUAGCAUGAUACACUCUAGGACCCUGGCCAAGGUAUCUACGAUGGUGGCGAUGUUGGGAACAGCUGCAUGGAUGGGGGGCACUAUUUUGUUCAAUUCUCAGUAUUCCGCUGUCAUCUGCCAUGAAGCUUACUUACAGAUCUUACUGGGCUAUGGAAAGCAUGAUGGGCAGGAAGUAUGAUACCCACUCUGAGCAGUUCCUGGAUAAGUUUCUCUUAUCUCCUUAUGCCCCCAGGGAACUUAUAUUGUUUGACUGUUACCACCCCUUAUGGGGGUGGCAGGCUUACCAGUUCCCAGCUGGCAUUUCCUGUCAGCACUUAUUUGAUUACUGUAACUACAGGUGGAAUUCAGCAAUACAGGUUUGCAGAUUGACUUUGGAGGGUAUGAAUGCCCAAUAUGUUCUCUGGUAUUGGGGAGGUAAAAAUAUCAUGUUCUUGGGCAGGGGUGGAGAACACCCAAUUGCAGUGUCAAAAAGACCUUUCUGACCAUAACUAUUUGCUCUCCUUAAUUAUCAAUGGUGUGAGGGGCCAGGAAACUUCUGAUGGUUACCAUGUAUUAGAGUACAUUCAGCUCCAGGGUCUACCAGAGUUUACCCUUUGUUUAUUUCUGGAGGACCAGUGAAUAGUGAGCUCUAUACGAGGCUUCUGGUCACCUCUACUGACCCUCACCUGGAGGUAAUCUUGGCUUGCAUCCUAUGCCCAGGGCAUUGGGAGGCACCCACCGUAAAUAAGACUGUAUUCCUAAGGCCUCUGUUGGAGCAGGUGGGGCAUCAGGGAUGGUAGAGGCAGAUGGGGCAGGUCUGAAUUGUUCAGGCUUUAAGGCUUCCCAUACGACAACCAACACAGCAUUGGGCUGUUGGUCUAUCUGUUCAGAUGGGAUCCCCGCAGCAGUGAGGUCAAACCACAUUUCAUUCAGGUUACUUUCAUAGGAUCCUUUACAGCCUUUUGGCUCUUCCAGCUCCCUCUCUGUUUCGGGUCUUUUCCACAUCCCAUCCUCAUUCCUGGCAUUUGUCAGUCCCCUUCAGAUCAGCAAUGAAUCAGCCAACAUCAUAAACGUCUGUCCCACGACUGGGCUCAGCACGGACAUCAACAUCCCAUACCGGGUGCUAGAGCAGACUAGAGAAUCUUAGUUUUCAUUCCUGCAAUGCAUGUGGGCCUGAUUAGGGCCUUCAAAGACAGGGGCAUAGAUGAUGGUCUGUUUCAUUUCCAAUUCUCUAAGAAUUUUCUUUUCUUUUUCUUUUUCAACAGAUCCUGCCUCAGGUUUAUUUGUGCAACUAGCACAGAAAGAUACCAGCCCCUGCAGAUAGAAGCCCAGGGUAACACCAGUCUUCUGUCCUCACAUUGGCAGACAGAAACCUCCAUAUUAGAGCCUUUAUUAGGGACCCGGCACCUCCAGCCACAUCUGGGGCCAGAGCCACAACCUGGGCCUUGGUUUGAAUCUUGGCCUUGGCCUUUGGUUGGCAGAGCCUGAGACACUUGGCAUUACGGGCAUGAGCACAUUUCCAGAGCAUGGGGUGAGUGAUGUAAGCAAGUUGAUUGAGCUUGCGGCUGCCAACCUUUGGGAUCACGGACUUGUCAAGGGCAUUGAUAGCCUCAGCACAUACAGCCAUGGCCUUGGCAUUACUGGCCUCCAUCUCCUUUAGCCCUUCUUGUUGUGCUUUCUGGCAAAGCACGUGUUCCUCAGGAACUUGGGGUCCACCCCCUUAAGAGAUUCAUAUCUUUGGGGCACCUAGGUGGCUCAGUUGGUUAAAUGUUCGAGAUUGGCUCAGGUCAUGAUCUCGUGGUCUGUGAGUUCGAGCCCCACUUUGGGCUCUGUGCUGA